rnacentral:rRNA from 1 species
AGCAGCCGCGGUAAUUCCAGCUCCAAUAGCGUAUAUUAAAGUUGUUGCAGUUAAAAAGCUCGUAGUUGAAUUUCGGGAUCAAUAUGUUGGUCGUGCCUUGGUACGUACUGGCAUUAUCGAUUCCUACCUUCUGAAGAACCUCGAUGUCAUUAAUUUGGUGUCUUGGGGAAUCAGGACUGUUACUUUGAAAAAUUAGAGUGUUUAAAGCAGGCUCACGCUUGAAUACAUUAGCAUGGAAUAAUGAAAUAGGACGUUUGAUCCUAUUUUGUUGGUUUCUAGGAUUGACGUAAUGAUUAAUAGGGAUAGUUGGGGGCAUUAGUAUUCAAUUGUCAGAGGUGAAAUUCUUGGAUUUAUUGAAGACUAACUACUGCGAAAGCAUUUGCCAAGGAUGUUUUCAUUAAUCAAGAACGAAAGUUAGGGGAUCGAAGACGAUCAGAUACCGUCGUAGUC